AAAAAAAGAACACAAGUAUGAUUAAUAAAUGCUCCCUGCUGGCCCGGACCGUUUGUACUUAAAUCCGCUGAGACGUAGGUGCUGGACCUCCUGCUCAGCCGAGGUUCGAUGUCGCCGCCACCGCAGCUGACCUGAGAUUGGUUCAGAUGGAGACAAGGUCUGCUUCACUGUGCAAUUUCAAGCCGGUCGUAUAGAUCUCUUCCAACUUGUCAAUUCCCAGAAUAAGGAAAGGUAAAACUUGUCAUUUCCCCAGAUAUAUAGGGCAAUAGCUAGGAGACUGGUUGAGAAUUGGUUUGGGAGCGUCAAGUAAUGUUAUUUCAGACUCAAAGAUUUUACCUUUGAGACUCCGAUAUCGACUGAAAGGUCUCCAUUUUUAAUAUCAGUUGCACAAGCAUGUCCGCAGAGAGGCAUAUUUUUCAUAGCACGGUGUCUCAAGUACCGGUACCAAUAUUGGACGAGGGAGAAGGGACUCUGGUCAUACUACGUCUUCUCAAACAAAGCCGGUUUUGGUAUGAUAAUCCACGAGACUUCACACAGGAUGGUGAACCAACCCUCGUAGAUGAACAGGCACUUCUUGUCCGACCUGGCCCAGCCAAAUUAAAGUUUAUUGCAGAGCAUCUUUUGCGUAUGGGUGUCCCACCAGAAGAACAUGAAGCUAUUCUUCAGAAAUUCAUUCAGAGGUAUCUUGUACCGAUUGACGACACCCCCCAUUAUGUGCCAUAUACUGUGAAUAUAUUGGACAUCAGUGUGUCCUUGUUGGGUAGUGCUGACUAUCAUGAGAUUGUUGAUUGGGUGGCACAAGAACACAUCGUAUAUGAGGACCAUUGGGGUACAAAUAAGCUCAAAUUUGUUCCUGCAAGUAGAUCUUGGAUCAAGAGUUUGAAGAAAAUAAAACUUGAUACUUUGGAAGUAGAUCUUGGAUCAUGUGCUAUUUGUCUCGACGACUUUGCAAACUGUGUUGAUCAACUGGUUACUACCUUACCCUGUAAACACCAGUAUCAUGUCGAUUGCAUUGUCCAGUCCCUGGAGAUCAGUCACCUUUGUCCCUUGUGCCGAUACCCAAUGCCAACUGUGGAAGCGGAUGAGCAAUAAACAGUCUAGGGGCUCAACUGGAUCAACCACUAAGGAUGACUCGGCUAUGGAAGCGAGAGCUAAUCCUUCCGACUGUAUUUUAGUCAUUUAUCGUUUCACCAGAAAAAAAAAAAUGAAAGGGAGAGUUAAUCCUCCCGACUGUAUUUUAUAGCAAUUCCUUUGUUUACCAGAAAGAAUCCAUCGGACUGUAUCUUAUUUUGACUUUGGCAGAAGGAUUUUGAUUAUUUCUUUGAAGGUUAAUCCUUCUGAUUUGAGGAAAGAGUUUCUGGUUA